CUUUAUUGGAGAGUUUGAUCCUGGCUCAGGAUGAACGCUGGCGGCGUGCCUAAUACAUGCAAGUCGAGCGAAUGGAUUAAGAGCUUGCUCUUAUGAAGUUAGCGGCGGACGGGUGAGUAACACGUGGGUAACCUGCCCAUAAGACUGGGAUAACUCCGGGAAACCGGGGC
rnacentral:rRNA from 2 species